GACGAACGCUGGCGGUGUGCCUAACACAUGCAAGUCGAACGAGAAUCUUUGGAAUGAUUCUUUCGGGAUGAAUUCUAAAGAGGAAAGUGGCGGACGGGCGAGUAACGCGUGAGUAACCUACCUAUAAGCGGGGGAUAACAUUCGGAAACGGGUGCUAAUACCGCAUAAUAUCUUCUUCCGCAUGGAAGAAGAUUGAAAGACGGCUCUGCUGUCACUUAUAGAUGACCUUGCGGUGCAUUAGUUAGUUGGUGGGGUAACGGCCUACCAAGACGAUGAUGCAUAGCCGACCUGAGAGGGUGAUCGGCCACAUUGGGACUGAGACACGGCCCAAACUCCGACGGGAGGCAGCAGUAGGGAAUCUUCCGCAAUGGGCGAAAGCCUGACGGAGCAAUGCCGCGUGAGUGAAGAAGGCCUUCGGGUCGUAAAACUCUGUUAUAAGAGAAGAACAAAUUGUAGAGUAACUGCUACAGUCUUGACUGUAUCUUAUCAGAAAGCCACGGCUAACUACGUGCCAGCCGCCGCCGUAA
rnacentral:rRNA from 1 species